rnacentral:rRNA from 1 species
UUAUAUCACUUUAUCACGUUGAAUUUACCAGUCAACCAUGGUUCACUGAAGUUAAGCAACAUUGCGCGUGGUUAGUAUCUAGAUGGGUGACCAUCUGGGCAAUCGCUUGCUUCUAGU